CAACCGUUGGAAACGACGGCUAAUUCCCCAUGUGCCGCAAGGUGAAACGGGUUUCCGCCAGAAGAAGAGCUCGCGUCCGAUUAGUUAGUUGGUGAGGUAAARGCUCACCAAGGCAGCGAUCGGUAGCUGGUCUGAGAGGAUGAGCAGCCACACUGGGACUGAGACACGGCCCAGACUCCUACGGGAGGCAGCAGUGGGGAAUUUUCCGCAAUGGGCGCAAGCCUGACGGAGCAACGCCGCGUGUGGGAAGAAGGCUCUUGGGCUGUCAACCACUUUUCUCAGGGAAGAAGUYCUGACGGUACCUGAGGAAUCAGCCUCGGCUAACUCCGUGCCAGCAGCCGCGGUAAUACGGAGGAGGCAAGCGUUAUCCGGAAUUAUUGGGCGUAAAGCGUCCGCAGGGGGCGCAUCAAGUCUGCUGUCAAAGGUCGGAGCUUAACUCCGGUUCGGCAGUGGAAACUGGUGCGCUAGAGGGCGACAGGGGUAGAGGGAAUUCCCAGUGUAGCGGUGAAAUGCGUAGAGAUUGGGAAGAACACCGGUGGCGAAAGCGCUCUACUGGGUCGCACCUGA
rnacentral:rRNA from 1 species